rnacentral:rRNA from 1 species
AUUGAACGCUGGCGGCAUGCCUUACACAUGCAAGUCGAACGGUAACAGGUCUUCGGAUGCUGACGAGUGGCGAACGGGUGAGUAAUACAUCGGAACGUGCCUAGUAGUGGGGGAUAGCUACUCGAAAGAGUGGCUAAUACCGCAUGAGAUCUACGGAUGAAAGCAGGGGAUCGCAAGACCUUGUGCUACUAGAGCGGCCGAUGGCAGAUUAGGUAGUUGGUGGGAUAAAAGCUUACCAAGCCGACGAUCUGUAGCUGGUCUGAGAGGACGAUCACCCACACUGGGACUGAGACACGGCCCAGACUCCUACGGGAGGCAGCAGUGGGGAAUUUUGGACAAUGGGCGAAAGCCUGAUCCAGCAAUGCCGCGUGCAGGAUGAAGGCCUUCGGGUUGUAAACUGCUUUUGUACGGAACGAAAAGCCCCGGGUUAAUACCCUGGGGUCAUGACGGUACCGUAAGAAUAAGCACCGGCUAACUACGUGCCAGCAGCCGCAGUAA